GGAGAGAUGGCUCAGCGAUUGAGAGCACUGACUGUUCUUCCAGAGGUCCUGAGUUCAAUUCCCAGCAACCACA
rnacentral:tRNA from 1 species